CCUACGGGUGGCAGCAGUCGAGAAUCAUUCACAAUGGGGGAAACCCUGAUGGUGCGACGCCGCGUGGGGGAAUGAAGGUCUUCGGAUUGUAAACCCCUGUCAUGUGGGAGCAAAUUAAAAAGAUAGUACCACAAGAGGAAGAGACGGCUAACUCUGUGCCAGCAGCCGCGGUAAUACAGAGGUCUCAAGCGUUGUUCGGAAUCACUGGGCGUAAAGCGUGCGUAGGCUGUUUCGUAAGUCGUGUGUGAAAGGCGCGGGCUCAACCCGCGGACGGCACCGGAUACUGCGAGACUAGAGUAAGGGAGGGGGAACCGGAAUUCUCGGUGUAGCAGUGAAAUGCGUAGAUAUCGAGAGGAACACUCGUGGCGAAGGCGGGUUCCUGGACAUUAACUGACGCUGAGGCACGAAGGCGAGGGGAGCGAAAGGGAUUAGAUACCCGUGUAGUC
rnacentral:rRNA from 1 species